rnacentral:rRNA from 1 species
GACAAACGCUGGCGGCAUGCCUAACACAUGCAAGUCGAACGGACAGAACAGGGAAGCUUUUCGGAGUGGAACUGGAAAGUUAGUGGCGGAUGGGUGAGUAACGCGUGGACAACCUACCUUGUAAAGGGGAAUAACCUCGAGAAAUCGAAGCUAAUACCCCAUAAUAACCUUGCUUCGCAUGAAGUAAGGAGGAAAGGCGGCCUUAGCGCUGUCGAUACAAGAUGGGUCCGCGUCUGAUUAGCUAGUUGGUGAGGUAAAGGCUCACCAAGGCGACGAUCAGGAGCCGGCCUGAGAGGGUGAACGGCCACAUUGGGACUGAGACACGGCCCAAACUCCUACGGGAGGCAGCAGUGGGGAAUCUUCCGCAAUGGGCGAAAGCCUGACGGAGCAAUGCCGCGUGAGUGAAGAAGGCCUUCGGGUUGUAAAACUCUGUCCUUAUCGAAGAGAGAGUGUUGUAGUAACUGACAAUACUAGGACGGUAGAUGAGGAGGAAGCCCCGGCUAACUAUGUG